rnacentral:rRNA from 1 species
GAUGAACGCUGGCGGCGUGCCUAAUACAUGCAAGUCGAGCGAACGGACGAGAAGCUUGCUUCUCUGAUGUUAGCGGCGGACGGGUGAGUAACACGUGGAUAACCUACCUAUAAGACUGGGAAAACUUGGGAAAACCGGAGCUAAUACCGGAUAAUAUUUUGAACCGCAUGGUUCAAAAGUGAAAGACGGUCUUGCUGUCACUUAUAGAUGGAUCCGCGCUGCAUUAGCUAGUUGUUAAGGUAACGGCUUACCAAGGCAACGAUGCAUAGCCGACCUGAGAGGGUGAUCGGCCACACUGGAACUGAGACACGGUCCAGACUCCUACGGGAGGCAGCAGUAGGGAAUCUUCCGCAAUGGGCGAAAGCCUGACGGAGCAACGCCGCGUGAGUGAUGAAGGUCUUCGGAUCGUAAAACUCUGUUAUUAGGGAAGAACAUAUGUGUAAGUAACUGUGCACAUCUUGACGGUACCUAAUCAGAAAGCCACGGCUAACUACGUG